rnacentral:tRNA from 2 species
GCGGAAGUGGCGGAAUUGGUAGACGCACCAGAUUUAGGUUCUGGCGCCGCAAGGUGUGAGAGUUCAAGUCUCUCCUUACGCACCA